rnacentral:lncRNA from 1 species
AAAUAUGGGGCAUAUUAAAUGCUAAUAUUUUCAGCCUAAAUGAACAUGUAAUGACUCCAAAUUUUGUUCCACAGGUGUUCUGCUCUAUGAUGCUUUUGGAUGGGAAGUGAGAAUGCCGAAAGACAUUCAUGGCCUCAAAGGUUCUUAUCCUUUCCUCUAAAGAGGACUACUGAAAAGGUAGGAAUGAAAAAUAAUGUAUUAUUAUUAAAUCAUUAGUAUUAAAGAAAUGAUUGUAAAAACUACAAUUUAAGUGAUAAACUGUUAGGCUGGAAGUUCACCCAUUAUUGACAUUUAACUUUGGUUUUUGUUUAUGUAUUGACCCAGGAACAUGAAAGCACCUCUUCUACUUCAUUUACUUUUUCAAGGUAUAUUGUCUGUUGUCCUCUUUUAGGCAUGUUUUGGGCAUGUUCUGUCACAGUAAAUGUUUCUAUACAUUUAUUAAUAUUAUUUAACAGAAAUUUCCACAUUAGGCUACUCAGUUAUGAAAUACCAAAAUCAUCAAAAUAAUAGGCUAAAGUUUUAUACACACAGGGACAACUUUAUUCACAGCAGACAAAAAAAAUAAUAAUCUGCCUUACACUCACAAGAUCAAAAAAAUUUGACAACAUUUUGAAACCCAAAGUCAUUGUGCAGAAGCAUUAGCCUUUACAGUGUAAACUGUGUGUCUGUGUGGCAUUUCAAGGGUGAGUUCUCAAGGGUAGGAAUUUUUUGUCGCCUCAAGUUGGAGGUGGUAAAGGACUACAGAUCAAAAUGGAGGCUCUCUAAAAACGACAACAACUAGAUCACCUACCAAUGAAGUCUAGACAGACUAACAAAUGCUGUAUAAUUGACAAGUACUGUGACUAAAAACAAACUCUGCCAAAUCAUUGAAUUUCAUUUAAAUCUAGACUCUAUUUGAAUAUAGGUGUUGUUUCUUUCUUUUUUUUUUUCUUGGUCAAUAUGAAAAGAACGUUAUUUCUAAUCACAAUAUAAAAUGAUGAUUGACACAUGCCCAUUACAUUUUAUGACUAAUUUAAUAAAUUUCUCAUACUAUACACCAAAUCAGCUCUAUUACUGACACUUAUGAAAUCUGCAAAGUUUAGUGUAUUAUAGUGUGCUAAACUAAAAGAAAAAAAUAUGGGCCAAAUGAAAUGCUAAAAUUUUCAGCCUAAAUGAACAUGUAAUGACUCCAACUUUUGUUCCACAGGUGUUCUGCUCUAUGAUGCUUUUGGAUGGGAAGUGAGAAUGCCGCAAGACAUUCAUGGCCUCAAAGGUUCCUGUCUGGUCAUUCCAAUGAAAUGCUAAAAUUUUCAGCCUAAAUGAACAUGUAAUGACUCCAACUUUUGUCCCACAGGUGUUCUGCUCUAUGAUG